GAUAGAAGUGGGGAAGAGACAGAGAUAGAAGUGGGGGAGAGACAGAUGGAGAGAAGUGGGGAGAAGUGGGGGAGAGACAGAGAUGAGAUAGAAGUGGGGAAGAGAUAGAGAUGAGAGAAGUGGGGGAGAGACAGAGAUAGAAGUGGGGAACAGAUAGAGAUAAGUGGGGGAGAGACAGAAGUGGGGGAGAGACAGAGAUAGAAGUGGAGGAGAGACAGAGAUAGAAGUGGGGAAAGAGAGAUGAGAGAAGUGGGGGAGAGACAGAUGGAGAGAAGUGGGGAGAAGUGGGGGAGAGACAGAGAUGGAGAGAAGUGGGGAAGAGACAGAGAUAGAAGUGGGGAACAGAGAUAAGUGGGGGAGAGACAGAGAUAGAAGUGGGGAAAGAGAGAUGAGAGAAG
rnacentral:lncRNA from 1 species